UGAGUCCAUUUCCUAGUAACAGAUUGUAUAAAUUUUCGCUUCACUGCAACAAAUAUACAUUUUUAAGCCUUAUAAUUAUAAUAAGAAAUUACAAUGAUUAGAAAGUAUUUCGGUAAUUGUUUACAAGUCGGGUUAGCUUCAUUUUGGGCCAUAAUUAGGUAACACUGCCUAAUAUUUCAUUGAAAUUCAAAUGAGAAGAAAACAUAGUGAAGGAAUAAAAAAGUUGAGCCAAUGACUCUAACGGUUUUCCCCUGUGACGAUCGAGCCGCAGGUGUCCUAAAGACUGAAAGAAAAAAUCUGUAAAGCCUGGUGUGAGACAGAGAAAUGUCCGUGGGGAACAAAAGAAAAAAAGGUUGUACGAUACCGAGGAAUUGUGUUCAAGAUACUCAUUAUUCACCUCAAGCUCAGUCAGAUAUCACGAUCCAGAAAGGAUCGUUUUCAUCGUUACCCUUGUUAAUUUUUGUGAUCCUUGGAGCUGAACUUGAAGAAUAGAAAGAAUAAUAUAACAGACAGAAUAUAAAUGGUGAUCGGACAACGUACCCGCAAUGUCUUCACAUCGGGGGUGCACUCGAGUUUGAAUACCCGUAGGUAAUGUCUCAAAUAACAGAAAAGCUAUUGACUUUAGUGUAUUUGUCGCCGUUCGAGGGUAAGGCACAAUUUCAGGCUUCACAGGAGGUCCAGGGAACAUUUUUCCUCCUCUUGGUCCAUUGUGUGACAAUGAGAUGAGAUUGAGGAAAACGUUUAUUUAGUGGCUCAGGCAUUUGGCUCGUGACUCGCACGCGCUUUUCUAUUUUAACAUUAAAUUAUACUUAAUUUACAUAACAAUAGUUAAAUAGUUGGAUCAUUUUUUCUUUUACACAUUUUUUUUGGUAAGUAAUAAUUUAUUUAUUUAUUUCAUUUUAUUUAAAUUAAACCCAACAGCCCAUAGGGCCAAUAACACACGCAGAAAAAAAUUUUGUUAAGAUAACAUAAGAUAUGUUGUGAUAACAAAAUUUACGUUAUAACAAUUAAUUGAUAUGUUAUAAUA